AUUGAACGCUGGCGGCAUGCCUUACACAUGCAAGUCGAGCGGCAGCGCGGGGGCAACCCUGGCGGCGAGCGGCGAACGGGUGAGUAAUGCAUCGGAACGUGUCCUCUUGUGGGGGAUAACCAGUCGAAAGACUGGCUAAUACCGCAUGAGAUCGAGAGAUGAAAGCAGGGGACCGCAAGGCCUUGCGCGAGAGGAGCGGCCGAUGCCGGAUUAGCUAGUUGGUGGGGUAACGGCCCACCAAGGCGACGAUCCGUAGCUGGUAUGAGAGUACGACCAGCCACACUGGGACUGAGACACGGCCCCAGACUCCUACGGGAGGCAGCAGUGGGGAAUUUUGGACAAUGGGGGAAACCCUGAUCCAGCCAUGCCGCGUGUGUGAAGAAGGCCUCGGGUUGUAAAGCACUUUCGGACGGAACGAAAUCGCGCGGGUGAAUAUCCCGCGUGGAUGACGGUACCGUAAGAAGAAGCACCGGCUAACUACGUGCCAGCAGCCGCGGUAAUACGUAGGGUGCGAGCGUUAAUCGGAAUUACUGGGCGUAAAGUGUGCGCAGGCGGCGUCGCAAGUCGAGUGUGAAAAGCCCCGGGCUUAACUUGGGAAUUGCGCUCGAAACUACGAUGCUGGAGUGUGGCAGAGGAAGGUGGAAUUCCACGUGUAGCGGUGAAAUGCGUAGAGAUGUGGAGGAACACCAAUGGCGAAGGCAGCCUUCUGGGCCAACACUGACGCUCAUGCACGAAAAGCGUGGGGGAGC
rnacentral:rRNA from 1 species